rnacentral:misc_RNA from 1 species
AAGUCGUAACAAGGUUUCCGUAGGUGAACCUGCGGAAGGAUCAUUAUUUGAAUGAACUUGGCGUGUUGUUGCUGGUCCUCUUUGGGGGGCAUGUGCACACCCGUCAUCUUUUUCUUUCCCACCUGUGCACAUUUUGUAGGUCUAAAAAUUUUUUCCGAGGCAACUCGUUUAGAGGGUUUUGCUGUGCAUCAUGUCGGCUUCCCCUUGGAUUUUCAGGCCUAUGUUUUCACAUACACCAUAAAAAUGUAAUAGAAUGUCAUAUUGGGCUUUGUUGCCUAUAAACUAUAUACAA